rnacentral:rRNA from 1 species
GCUUAUACUCGACCGUCAGCGGCACGUGCGAUCGCGUGUUUCGGCGCGCGGUCACGAAGCCCUGACGAGUAGGAGGGUCGCGGCGGUGAGUGCAGAAGGACUGGCCGCGAGGCCAUCUGGAGCCGCUGUCGCGUCUGUGCAGAUCUUGGUGGUAGUCUCAAAUACUCCAGCGAGGCCCUGGGGGACUGACGUGGAAAAGAGUUUCGUGUGAACAGCCGUUGCACACGAGUCAGUCGAUCCUAAGCCCUAGGCGAAAGCCGAUGACGAUGCGGUGUGGAUUUCUUUUUUCUUUUCAUACAGCGACGAAGAGCGAGACAAAUAUUAAUUCGUUAGUUUCGACGUAUCAUCGGAAAGUCGAUUUUCGCCAUCGGGCGAAAGGGAAUCCGGUUCCUAAUCCGGAACCUGGCAGCGGAACCGUCAAAAAGUCGGGC